rnacentral:lncRNA from 1 species
GAAUAUAUAUAAUCAUCCUUUUAUCUUUAAUUAUGUUACAUUUUUUAAAUUUCAUCACGUUAUUCUCUCUUUUUUUUAUGAUAUCUUUGGUCAAACCUUGACGGCAAUGAGCUUUCAUGCGAUUCUGGCUCAAGUCUUGGAUGUGUUGAAUUACAGUUACACCGAUGGAAACCUGAUAUGCACUAGAGAUUCAAGCUCCAAGCUCAUCUCACUUUCUGCAGACCAUUUCAGUUGACGUCAUCUCCAUUGUUCGAGAUUUAUGAUAGUGCAUGUGAUCGUCCUUGUGAAGCGCUAGAGAGUGCACUAAUUCAUGCUCUAGUUUAUAUUGAUAUUGAUGAAGUUUUAGGCUUUAUGAUUAGAGACUUAAGCUAUGGAGCAUAUCUACAUCAGCGAAGCGAAUUAUUAAAUAUGUAGCAUGCAUGGAUGUACUCCUAC